rnacentral:misc_RNA from 1 species
AACACUGUUAACCUGCGGUACCUGCGGAGGGAUCAUUACCGAGUCAUCGACGCUCAGACCCUACCGCGAACCCGAGACCGUUGCCUCGGCGGGCACGCCCGCCGGGGGUCUCGAGCCCCACGCCCUGCAGCGGCCCCCGCGCCGCGACGCCGUGAUCUGAAUUACGCUUCCAAAACAAGUCAAAACUUUUAGCAACGGAUCU